AGGAAAAGGCCAUUCCUCUAAGAACAGGCUCUUACUUUUUGUAAAAAGAAACUGGAAGAAUGUAAGAAAGGAAAAGCUCUCAAAGAUGGCCAUCAAAUCUACUCAUCCAAUUUUCCAUUAAGUGUUUCCCCAGCACAUCUGAGUAGCUGGGACCUCCCUUCUGGGUUGAGCAGACAAUGGCACCAGCAGGGGUGUCACGCACCUGAACUUUCCUUCCUAUGCCUGUAAACUUGAGCUUUUGUCCUCUACCCUGCGGACCUCGGGCUUUGUCAAAGUGAGGAGACACAGUUGUGUUGACUAGUUACCGCGCCGGUGAUGGUGGAGAUGAUGACGCUGAUGGUGGAGAUGGGGUGCUGAUGGUGCAAAGGGAGCACAGGCUGAGCGGACGCCGGGAGGAAGAUGGACCGCGGAGGCGGUGGCAAGUGGGGUGCGGGAAAGGAAGGAGCGCAGAGGGAUUGCAGAUGGGAGCUGUCCACGCACCAAGUGCUGAAACGCUGCAGCCAUAGCAUCAUGAUAAUUUCUCCAUGGGACCUGAUUCUACAGAGAAGAAAACAGGUCCUCCUACUAAACACCCUAAACUUGGAAGAAGAAAAUGAAGAGCAGUGCGUUGUAAUGGGCACUGCUCACAUCAGGAUUUUCCUAGAAGCC
rnacentral:lncRNA from 1 species